GGGGAAUUUUGGACAAUGGGGGAAACCCUGAUCCAGCCAUCCCGCGUGUGCGAUGAAGGCCUUCGGGUUGUAAAGCACUUUUGGCAGGGAAGAAACAGCCUGGGCUAAUAUCCCGGGCGACUGACGGUACCUGCAGAAUAAGCACCGGCUAACUACGUGCCAGCAGCCGCGGUAAUACGUAGGGUGCAAGCGUUAAUCGGAAUUACUGGGCGUAAAGCGUGCGCAGGCGGUUCGGAAAGAAAGGUGUGAAAUCCCAGGGCUUAACCUUGGAACUGCACUUUUAACUACCGGGCUAGAGUACGUCAGAGGGGGGUAGAAUUCCACGUGUAGCAGUGAAAUGCGUAGAGAUGUGGAGGAAUACCGAUGGCGAAGGCAGCCCCCUGGGAUGAUACUGACGCUCAUGCACGAAAGCGUGGGGAGCAAAC
rnacentral:rRNA from 1 species